AGCACCAGUACCAGCUGAAAGGAAACAAGGAGACAGUCUUUUGGCAGUGACAAGGGGUCCCUUGCGAAUCUCUCCUUAAGGGUAAAAUGGCCCAGGAAGCGUGGACUCUCAUCAAGAUGGAAAUCUUAAAGCCACAAGAACAGGCUGUUCCUGAAUGGCAUAAUGCAAGCCAUAGGGGAAGAAGAUUGGUGUGGAUGAACAGGG
rnacentral:lncRNA from 1 species